GGCAAACGGGUGAGUAACACGUGAACAACCUACCCUCGAGUGGGGAAUAACACCGCGAAAGCGGUGCUAAUACCGCAUAACAUCUCUGAAUCGCAUGGUUUUGAGAUCAAAAGCUUCGGUUGCUUGAGGAGGGGUUCGCGCCUGAUUAGCUAGUUGGUGAGGUAACGGCUCACCAAGGCUGCGAUCAGUAGCCGGCCUGAGAGGGUGAACGGCCACACUGGAACUGAGACACGGUCCAGACUCCUACGGGAGGCAGCAGUGGGGAAUUUUGCGCAAUGGGCGAAAGCCUGACGCAGCAACGCCGCGUGGAGGAUGAAGGCCCUCGGGUCGUAAACUCCUGUCAGUGGGGAAGAAUGCUUCGGUUUGACUGUACCCGCUGAGGAAGCCACGGCUAACUCCGUGCCAGCAGCCGCGGUAAUACGGAGGUGGCAAGCGUUGUUCGGAAUUACUGGGCGUAAAGGGCGCGUAGGCGGCUUGGCAAGUCGGAUGUGAAAUCCCCGAGCUUAACUUGGGAAUUGCAUCUGAUACUGUCGAGCUUGAGUCCUG
rnacentral:rRNA from 1 species